rnacentral:rRNA from 1 species
UACGUAGGGUGCAAGCGUUGUCCGGAAUUAUUGGGCGUAAAGAGCUCGUAGGCGGUUCGUCACGUCGGCUGUGAAAUCCCGAGGCUCAACCUCGGGUCUGCAGUCGAUACGGGCGGACUUGAGUACUGCAGGGGAGACUGGAAUUCCUGGUGUAGCGGUGAAAUGCGCAGAUAUCAGGAGGAACACCGGUGGCGAAGGCGGGUCUCUGGGCAGUAACUGACGCCGAGGAGCGAAAGCGUGGGGAGCGAACAGG